rnacentral:rRNA from 1 species
AACGCAGCGAAGGGCGAUAAGUAAUGUGAAUUGCAGAAUUCAGUGAAUCAUCGAAUCUUUGAACGCACAUUGCGCCCCUUGGUAUUCCGAGGGGCAUACCUGUUCGAGCGUCAUUGCAAAACUCAAGCUCAGCUUGGUAUUGGGCACUCGUCCCGAGCGGACGUGCCUUAAAGGCCUCGGCAGCGUUGGCCCGGCUUCAGGCGUAGCAGAAACCCUCGCCUUGGAAGCCGCGGUCCCGCUCGCCGUAAAGCUCCCCUUCCAUCAAGGUUGACCUCGGAUCAGGUAGGGAUACCCGCUGAACUUAA